rnacentral:lncRNA from 1 species
CCCCCCGCAGCCACCCCCUGUCGCAGGCCGUUUCCUUCAGCAUCCCCUUCGGGCUGGACAGCGAUGUGGACAUCGUGAUGGGGAACCCUUUGGGGGGGGGGGGCGGCCCUUUGGCCCGCUCAGCCAGCAGCGACAGCCUGGCUCUGCCCCCCCACCCCCCCCACAGCGCCCCCACCGCCGCAGCGCCCCCCCCCAAGUCGUGGUUCCGCCCCCCCCCCUCCCCACGUCGCCGUCCCCUCCCCCCCCCACCAUCGAGGAAGCGCUGCAGAUCAUUCAGGGGGGGCAGCGGUUGGUACCCGAAGGAGCCCCCGCCGCCUUCUAUCUGCAUUCCCCGGGGGGGGACGGACCCCCUCCCCCAAUCAGAGACUCCCCCCAUAUAAAAGGAGACCCCCCCGCCGAGCUGGGGGGGGCCCGAAAGGAUGGGCCGAAAGAGGACGACGGUGGGAAAAGGGAUGGGGUGAAAGGUAAGCCCCCCAAGCCUCCCCCCGCCCCCCCCGUCCGCAUGACCAGCUUCGCCGAGCGCAAGAAACACCUGGAAGAAGCAGCAGUGAGCGGCAGCCCCCCCUCCCACCCCCAGCCUUCAACCCCCCCGCGACCACCUCCGGACCCCCGGCCCCAACCCACGACCCCCCCGGGGGGGACGGCAGAGUUCUGAGCACCGAACUGAACCAACUGGGAGCCCGGCUGGAGGAGAAGCGCCGCGCCAUCGAGGCUCAGAAGCAGCGCAUCGAAGCCAUCUUCGCCAAGCACCGGCAGCGCCUCGGCCGCAGCGCCUUCCUGCAGCUGCAGAGGGGGGGGACAGCGGCCCCGGGGACGACGCGGCCCCCGAAGCCCCCCCCCGGCCCAGCAGCCCCCCCCCGCGUGGCGAGCCCCGCAAGCAGGUGACGUUCGCCGAGGACGGCUAUGGGGCGGCGGUGGCGCAGCUGAGCACUGCGCUCAGCUCCCUGCAGCAGGACAUGCAGCGCCUCCACCUGCAGCAGCAGAAGCUCCUCCGGGAGCCGCGGCCCCCCCGGGGGGGCACGCCUGGGUUAUCCCCCCCCCGCCCAAAGCCCACGCCAGAAACGCCCCCUCUGCCCCGUCCGCCCCCCCGCUGAGCAGCGCCCCCCCCGGCCCUCGGCCCUCCCCCCCCGGCCCACGGCGGCGCGUCGACGACCCCCCCCCCCGCCCCUCCUCCCCCCCCCCCAGCCAAAAAAGCCCCCGCCGCCCCCGCCCCGCCGAACUGCGCCUCCCCCCCCUGCAGCGCGUGCUCAGCCCCCCCGCGACGUGGACAGCCUCCCCCACCUGCGGCAGUUCUCCCCCAGCCAGGUCCCCGUGCAGACGCGCUCCUCCAUCCACUUCUCUGAGGACGAGGAAGACGAGGACGAAGGCCCCCCCCGCCCCACAAGGAGACCCGGGGACCCCCCCGGCUGGAUGAGGAGCCCCCCCCUUCUGUUGCCCCCCCCGGGGAUUUGGGGUCUCCCCGCGCCCGCCCUGCCGGGGAUGGGACCAGCGAUGCUUCGUCACCCGGGGAGAGGAGGGGGAGUUUGGUGGAGGUGCCCCUCGGGGGGGGGCGCGGGGGGGGGCGACGGGGAACCCGAAGGGGAUUCGCUGGAGGGGUCACCCACCGAGGAGGGGGGGGCCGGGGGGCAGCAGCACAGAGCGGGAGUCGGCUUCUUCUUUAAGGACGAGGACAAGGAGGAGGCGCUGAUGGCGCAGCGCAGAGCGGCGCUGUUGGAGCGGCAGCAGCGGCGCAGUGCGGAGGUCCGACAGCGGCGCCAAUGGGAGAGCGAACGGCGCGGGAGGGACGGCAGUGAGCACAGGGCGGUCCCAUCCGACCCCCCCGCCCCGAGGAGGACCCCCCCCGGAGGGGCGACUUCACCCGCCAGGAAUACGAACGGCGGCAGCAGCUGAAACUGAUGGCAGAUUUGGACAAAGUGCUGCGCCCCCCCCGCCGCCCCCGACCCAAAAGCGUCUUCUGUGAUGAUUCGGCGCUGGCACGGAGCCCCGCCAAGGGGGCGUUGGG